GUUCAAUUUUAACAUAUCAUAUAUGUUCUACAUAACCAUCUCAUGAAUAUAGCAUAUGAUCAAUGAAUCAUAAAAUAUUAUGUAUAAAAUAUAAUAUUUGUUAUUUCAUCAUCUUAGGACAACCAUCUACCACAUAGCAGACAUCCACCACUAUGCCAGGGCAAUCUUACAGAAUGAUGAAUAAUAAAAUCUGAUCAUCAAUAAAUAUCACAUCUGAUUGAAUCGAUUAAAGAAGGCUCUGAUACCAUUGUUGGGUUUUGGAUCACGCA
rnacentral:lncRNA from 1 species